CGUAGGGGGCUAGCGUUGUCCGGAUUUAUUGGGCGUAAAGAGCGUGUAGGCGGCCGGGUAAGUCCGGUGUGAAAACUCGAGGCUUAACCUCAAGAUGUCAUCGGAAACUAUUCGGCUAGAGUCCGGAAGAGGAGAGUGGAAUUCCUGGUGUAGCGGUGAAAUGCGCAGAUAUCAGGAAGAACACCCACGGCGAAAGCAGCUCUCUGGGACGGUACUGACGCUGAGACGCGAAAGCGUGGGGAGCGAACAGGAUUAGAUACCCUGGUAGUCCACGCCGUAAACGAUGGGUGCUAGGUGUGGGCGGUGUCGACUCCGUCCGUGCCGAAGCUAACGCAUUAAGCACCCCGCCUGGGGAGUACGGCCGCAAGGCUA
rnacentral:rRNA from 1 species